ACAAAGAAGCAUACAGGUAGAGAAAAUUACAAUGAAGCAGCAGUACACAACAUCACACAGGAGCAAGACUGUUGAGGAGCAUGAGCCGCAUUUCAUUGCGCUCCACUGCCAGGAGGUUGGAGGCAAGCACUAUGAGGAGAGCAUGCAGCAUGUGGAACACUUCGUCAGAUCAUUAAUGAACAGAGGUACGAUGUUACCAUAUGACAAGGUCAGAGUAUUCCUAGACGAGGAAUAUGAGUCGGCUGAAAAAUUUACUGCACUGGGGAACUUAUAUUUUAUUCAUCAGAAUGUUCAAGAUCUUCAAAUAUGGGAUUUUAAAGAAAAGAAAUUUACUGAUUGUGUAGACAGAAGAGAAUAUUCAGGAAAUAUUGAAGAUGUCAGCACCAAGGAGAAGGCCAAGUUUCCUCAAGAAUUUUUUCCUGAGUGUAAAUGGUCUCGCAAAGGUUUUAUGCGAACACGGUGGUGUCUAAAUGGUACAAAAUUCGACCUGGUAAACAUCCACCUUUUCCAUGAUGCCUCUAAUUUUAUUGCUAUGGAGGGGUUUCCAUCUGUGUAUAGCCUCAACAGGAAGAGAGCACUAGAGCACACGUUAGACAGAUUUCACAAUGAUGGAUUUGAAAAAGUGCCAAUAUUCCUAUUUGGGGACUUUAACUUUAGAAUGAAUACUCGCGCAGUUGUGGAGAAAUUGACUCAAGGGUGUACAGUGGUGGACACAGAACUGCCGAACUCCAGUGAAAAGGCUCAAGAGUUUUUGGACAACAAAGGCACUGUACAACUCGUUGUCUCUAAGAAGUCCUUCAAGCACUGUGACCAUCAUUCAAUCUUCCUUAAGGAAAAUGGCAGCUGGCUUCGUGAGUUUGAUCAAGAAUUGGCUCAGUUCGGCAAUAGGCUGGCUGAGUUUCCUAUCAACUUUCCUCCAAGUUACCCUUUUGAAGAAGGUGCUGAUGGGGAUGGGUCUCACUACAUGCAGACCAGGUGCCCAUCCUGGUGCGAUAGAAUCAUCUUGGACAAAGCAGCUAAGAAGCUCAUUGAUUCAAGUGGGGGAAAGGUUGCGUACAAUAUCAUCGGCUUGAGUACCACUAUGGGGGAUCAUAAGCCCGUGAGUUUGUGUGUGGAGGUGCCCAUGGGAGCAGGUAUAGUGACGUGUUGCUCUCCUCAUGCACCAUGUCGUAACUUUGUGCAUGAACCUGACGCUCACUGUUUUGUGCAGGCGGGUUGGUGCCUGUGUCAGUCCUACCCACCCUGCCCAAGACCUGUAGUCACGUCUGUGUGCCCCAACAGUAGUACCCCGCCCUCCCUUCCAGGCCAGGUCACCCCAGUCAUUCCAGCUGCUGCAUGUGUUACCCCAGUAAGGGUAGAUGUGGCUCCUGCUCCAGGUAGUGUCAGCAGUCACGGGCCAUGUUUAGUGCCUCAAUGUGUGUGUAGUGCUGGUGCUAGUGAAGAGAAAAUUAGCCAUCACUGUCAAUGUGGCUACCCAGCUAGAGAACCUCAAAUGAGAACUGAAGGUGGAGUACAAUCUAGAGACCUUUUACGCAACCUUUUGUUACUGGGUGGAACCUCUGUGGAUGGGACAAGUGUAAUUGGCCAUGAACAGCUACUGAAACGAGUCAAUUCAGCACCAAACACAAGCUUUGUGCCAUUAAAACCUCACUGGCAUAUACCUUUAGCUGCUUCUCAUUCUCUUGACACUGGUAGCUGCCUCCAUCAGACAUAUCCGCCGUGUGCUAAGCUCCGACUCCGAGCCUCAUCAUCCCGGUUAAUCUCCCAUCAUAGCUCUUCAACUGAAGAAUGGUUUGAAGAGGUUCCUGUGCAUCAAGAUGCUGACCACGUUAAAAAAAAUUCAAGUGUGUAUGUCCGUUCUGAAUCUCUGAAACCCACUCAGGAAGUUAGUCCACCAUCUUCACCAAAACUUUGUGAAAGUGGAGACAAGCCACCACCUUCUCCAGUAUCAGGAGGGUUCCAGGAUAUGGACACGGGUGUUUGGUUACCCUCUAGCCAGAUAGCAGAGGAAUCUGGAGAAAGUGUUGGUGCAUGUAGCAUGGGUGAGAGUGGAGGGGCAGACAGCAGAGGUGAAGGUGAAUGCCAUAGUACAAAGGGAAUGCUUGGAGUUGUCCGCAAACAAGUGAGCACUGAACAACACUCUCUCAAUAAUCUGCUUCUUGCCGAUAGUUGUGACCAACUUUCUACUAAACACCUAACUCAUUCAGAAUCAAGUUUAAGUGUACAUUACAGUGAAGAUAGUGUUUCCAGUAUGGGAAGGCCACUGAAAGAUGGAGAGACAGUUUCACAAGCUCCCACAUUUGACAUUGCUGACGUAGAUCCCAGUGACGUAAGCUCUCCAAAACCCCAUAUUAAGUGCCAAAAGCCUAGCCACAAGCCCAAUGCUGAUAUAUCUGAGCGCCCGCCUGGCCAGUGCUGUUGUGUUGUGUCUUAACCUAGACUCCGUAGUGCUUCUCUUAGUGCUCCGUCGGUGUAUUAACAUAUUUAGAAGUAUAGUGUGGCAUACCUGCGUGAAUCUGCCAUUGCCUAGUCAUAGAAAAAUGUGUGUGUGUAUAAACCAAAGUGUUAUAAGAAAAUUUAAGUACUGUAUGAAUUGACUGAAAUCACUCAUUCAGUCAUAUAACAUUGUGUAGUGAUGUUAUGAAACUUAUAUAUUUCAUGGACACUGUGGCAAGUGUGAAUAUGUAUACAGUACCCAGUACUUUUCUAUAAUUAGAUAAUUAGUGAACUUAAUUUAUAUAAAUAUAAAAUUAAACAUUUUGAUAAUAAGUUAACAAGUGCAUGAUAAAGAAAAAAUAUUAGGAAUAAAUGCUCUGAAACAAAAGACAAAUGUACGGCACCGUCAUAUGGUCUUACAGCUGUCUACACUGCAUGCCAAGAUCAGCUGUUUAUUCCCGCCUAACUGUGGUGGUGACAUGCUGCGAACAGCUGACUUGGCUGACUCAUAAUGAACACCUUCAGUUCACCUUUCUUAAAUUUGUACAGACUGCCUGUGAUGACGGCACCCCAGUGGAUGAACCUGUGUGGCAGCUUCGGGAGCUGGGAGAGAUGACUGCACUGCCCAACCAGGCAACAGACGUGGAAGAAGAAAGCAACGUACCAACUAGAACAUUGAGAUGUGGUUCUCAGGG
rnacentral:misc_RNA from 1 species